rnacentral:rRNA from 1 species
UUGUGAGGUUAAGCGACUAAGCGUACACGGUGGAUGCCCUGGCAGUCAGAGGCGAUGAAGGACGUGCUAAUCUGCGAUAAGCGUCGGUGAGGUGAUAUGAACCGUUAUAACCGGCGAUUUCCGAAUGGGGAAACCCAGUGUGUUUCGACACACUAUCAUUAACUGAAUCCAUAGGUUAAUGAGGCGAACCGGGGGAACUGAAACAUCUAAGUACCCCGAGGAAAAGAAAUCAACCGAGAUUCCCCCAGUAGCGGCGAGCGAACGGGGAGGAGCCCAGAGCCUGAAUCAGUGUGUGUGUUAGUGGAAGCGUCUGGAAAGGCGCGCGAUACAGGGUGACAGCCCCGUACACAAAAAUGCACAUACUGUGAGCUCGAUGAGUAGGGCGGGACACGUGGUAUCCUGUCUGAAUAUGGGGGGACCAUCCUCCAAGGCUAAAUACUCCUGACUGACCGAUAGUGAACCAGUACCGUGAGGGAAAGGCGAAAAGAACCCCGGCGAGGGGAGUGAAAAAGAACCUGAAACCGUGUACGUACAAGCAGUGGGAGCCUCUUAAUGGGGUGACUGCGUACCUUUUGUAUAAUGGGUCAGCGACUUAUAUUCUGUAGCAAGGUUAACCGAAUAGGGGAGCCGAAGGGAAACCGAGUCUUAACUGGGCGUUAAGUUGCAGGGUAUAGACCCGAAACCCGGUGAUCUAGCCAUGGGCAGGUUGAAGGUUGGGUAACACUAACUGGAGGACCGAACCGACUAAUGUUGAAAAAUUAGCGGAUGACUUGUGGCUGGGGGUGAAAGGCCAAUCAAACCGGGAGAUAGCUGGUUCUCCCCGAAAGCUAUUUAGGUAGCGCCUCGUGAAUUCAUCUCCGGGGGUAGAGCACUGUUUCGGCAAGGGGGUCAUCCCGACUUACCAACCCGAUGCAAACUGCGAAUACCGGAGAAUGUUAUCACGGGAGACACACGGCGGGUGCUAACGUCCGUCGUGAAGAGGGAAACAACCCAGACCGCCAGCUAAGGUCCCAAAGUCAUGGUUAAGUGGGAAACGAUGUGGGAAGGCCCAGACAGCCAGGAUGUUGGCUUAGAAGCAGCCAUCAUUUAAAGAAAGCGUAAUAGCUCACUGGUCGAGUCGGCCUGCGCGGAAGAUGUAACGGGGCUAAACCAUGCACCGAAGCUGCGGCAGCGACACUAUGUGUUGUUGGGUAGGGGAGCGUUCUGUAAGCCUGUGAAGGUGUACUGUGAGGUAUGCUGGAGGUAUCAGAAGUGCGAAUGCUGACAUAAGUAACGAUAAAGCGGGUGAAAAGCCCGCUCGCCGGAAGACCAAGGGUUCCUGUCCAACGUUAAUCGGGGCAGGGUGAGUCGACCCCUAAGGCGAGGCCGAAAGGCGUAGUCGAUGGGAAACAGGUUAAUAUUCCUGUACUUGGUGUUACUGCGAAGGGGGGACGGAGAAGGCUAUGUUGGCCGGGCGACGGUUGUCCCGGUUUAAGCGUGUAGGCUGGUUUUCCAGGCAAAUCCGGAAAAUCAAGGCUGAGGCGUGAUGACGAGGCACUACGGUGCUGAAGCGACAAAUGCCCUGCUUCCAGGAAAAG